UAAAUUUAAGUGCUAUGAAGAAAAAUAAUAAAAAGAGACAAGAAUCAUCUGGAUGUUGGCAGUUUUUAAUUUCUAUUUGCAAUUUUCAUCAUAACCUGUGUAAUAAACCACCUAUAAAUUGAUGACUUACAACACCAGAUAUGUCUGUGAGUUUUCCAGGAUUCAAAUAAUUCAGACUAGACGUGGCUUCAGUUGGUGGCUCAGUUUCAGUAGUAACAAGAUAAUUGUCAAAAUAUGAAUAAACCCUAGACUCAUCAGCUUUCUACUGUGUCAUACCUAUAUAAUUUAAGGAUGAAAUUUGAGGAAUGCUAGCAAAGAAAACUCCCUUCCUUUCCCUGUUGACGAGAUAUGGCCUUAAAUAUUUCAAGCCUUUUGGAUCAAAUCAGAUGAGGUUAAUCCACAGAGAGAUUUUUACCAGAUGGUGUCCUGAAGUUUCCUUUUUUGGAUUCUCUCUAAUUCAUCACUGCCUCUCCUGAAAAUGUGGUGCCCAGAAUAAAUCUCAGUGUUCCCAGCAUGAUUGGAC